ensembl:lncRNA
CUACAGUUAAUAUUUAGGCUACAAAAAUGUACUGAAUUAUGUUUUAAGUCAACUGUGCAUGUCAUGGCUUUGAGACACUUGGAUUGCAGUGGACAAGCAGUAGAUAAAGGACCUGGACAAAGGACCAUGAGUCUGCCUCAUCACAUCCGAGAAAAGGUCUAAGACCAGUUGAGAGGACAACUACAGAGGAGGACCAGGAGUCUGAAUCACAGCUAACCAGAGGUAGAUCAAGGACCUGGACAAAGGACCAUGAGUCUGCCUCAUCACAUCCGAGAAAAGGAGGGUCAAGACCUGUGAAAAAGAGGACACCUACAGAGGACCAGGAGUCUGAUACAUCACAGCCAGAAGAAAGAAAGAAAAACGAUUCAUCAAGAAAGAAGAGGAAGAUGUGGAGCAAAGAAGAAGUCCAAGCUGUGGAACAGGAGCUGAUGCACAGCAUUAAGACUGGCAAGGUUCCUGGUAAAGCACAGUGUCUUGAAUGUAUCCGUGCAUUUCCAGAGGCACUUAAAGGUAGGACCUGGGAUGCUGUCAAGUACUACGUGAAAAACAGAAUAGACGCUUGGAAGCGGCAGUCAAUGUCACACUAACUGCAAGUUGUUCUUGCUCUUUUGUGUUCGAAAGAGGCAGUUCUAACAGUGACCAUCGUUUGAUCUGAGUCAUAAUUUUUUAUUUAUUUUAAGAGGUACAAUUUGUAUCGGUUGUGCUAAAUUUAAAAAUGUUAUUACCAC